rnacentral:rRNA from 1 species
GACAGAGGAUGCAAGCGUUAUCCGGAAUGAUUGGGCGUAAAGCGUCUGUAGGUGGCUUUUCAAGUCCGCCGUCAAAUCCCAGGGCUCAACCCUGGACAGGCGGUGGAAACUACCAAGCUGGAGUACGGUAGGGGCAGGAGGGAAUUUCCGGUGGAGCGGUGAAAUGACAUUGAGAUCGGAAAGAACACCAACGGCGAAAGCCACUCUGCGGAC